GCUUACUAUUCUGGACAAAGAAAGAUAACUCUAAUUAAAAAAAAUUUUGAUAUUUCACAAUAUUGUGCAAUUAGAUAUUUCUUGCCAUUGCGCAAUACUGUGCAAUUGAAAAGACUUGCUAUUGCACAAUACUUAAUAUAAUAAUUUUAGAUCCUGAUUUGGACCAACUUGAAAACUGGGCCCAUUUUUGGAUUCAGCAUAUCAAAGAACUUCAAGAUUUCAAUUUUUGUUAAAAUCAGACUAAGUUUAAUUUUGGACCCUUUGGACUUUAGUGUAGACCAAUUUGAAAACAGGACCAAAAAUGAAGAAUCUACAUACACAAUUAGAUUUGGUAUAUCAAAGAACCCCAUUUAUUCAAUUUUUGAUGAAAUCAAACAAAGUUUUAAUUUUGGACCCCGAUUUGGACCAACUUGAAAACCGGGCCAAGAAUCAAGAAUCUAAGUACAUUUUUAGAUUCAGCAUAUCAAAGAACCUAACUGAUUCAAUUUUUGUCAAAAUCAAACUAAGUUUAAUUUUGGACCCUUUGGACCUUAAUGUAGACCAAUUUGAAAACGGGACCAAAAGUUAAGAAUCUACAUACACAGUCAUGACAGUUAGAUUCAGCAUAUCAAAGAACCCCAAUUAUUCAAUUUUGAUGAAAUCAAACAAAAGUUUAAUUUUGGAC
rnacentral:lncRNA from 1 species